UACAGAGGGGGCAAGCGUUGUUCGGAAUUACUGGGCGUAAAGGGCGCGUAGGCGGCCCGCUAAGUCGAACGUGAAAUCCCCAGGCUUAACCUGGGAACUGCGUCCGAUACUGGCAGGCUUGAAUCCGGGAGAGGGAUGUGGAAUUCCAGGUGUAGCGGUGAAAUGCGUAGAUAUCUGGAGGAACACCGGUGGCGAGGGCGGCAUCCUGGACCGGCAUUGACGCUGAGGCGCGAAAGCUAGGGGAGCAAACGGG
rnacentral:rRNA from 1 species